rnacentral:rRNA from 1 species
UGGGGAAUAUUGGACAAUGGGCGAAAGCCUGAUCCAGCCAUGCCGCGUGUGUGAAGAAGGUCUUCGGAUUGUAAAGCACUUUAAGUUGGGAGGAAGGGCAGUAAGCGAAUACCUUGCUGUUUUGACGUUACCGACAGAAUAAGCACCGGCUAACUCUGUGCCAGCAGCCGCGGUAAUACAGUGGGUGCAAGCGUUAAUCGGAAUUACUGGGCGUAAAGCGCGCGUAGGUGGUUCGUUAAGUUGAAUGUGAAAGCCCCGGGCUCAACCUGGGAACUGCAUCCAAAACUGGCGAGCUAGAGUAGGGCAGAGGGUGGUUGAAUUUCCUGUGUAGCGGUGAAAUGCGUAGAUAUAGGAAGGAACACCAGUGGCGAAGGCGACCACCUGGGCUCAUACUGACACUGAGGUGCGAAAGCGUGGGGAGCAAACAGG